rnacentral:rRNA from 1 species
GUGGGGAAUCUUGCGCAAUGGGCGAAAGCCUGACGCAGCCAUGCCGCGUGAAUGAUGAAGGUCUUAGGAUUGUAAAAUUCUUUCACCGGGGACGAUAAUGACGGUACCCGGAGAAGAAGCCCCGGCUAACUUCGUGCCAGCAGCCGCGGUAAUACGAAGGGGGCUAGCGUUGCUCGGAAUUACUGGGCGUAAAGGGCGCGUAGGCGGACAGUUUAGUCAGAGGUGAAAGCCCAGGGCUCAACCUUGGAAUUGCCUUUGAUACUGGCUGUCUUGAGUACGGGAGAGGUGAGGGGAACUCCGGGUGUAGAGGUGAAAUUCGUAGAUAUUCGGAAGAACGCCAGUGGCGAAGGCGACUCACUGGCCCGUUACUGACGCUGAGGCGCGAAAGCGUGGGGAGCAAACAGGAUUAGAAACCCCAGUAGUCC